CUCCGGUUGAUCCUGCCGGACCUGACUGCUAUCGGAUUGGUACUAAGCCAUGCGAGUCGUUGUAGCAAUACAAGGCGGACGGCUCAGUAACACGUAGUCAACCUAACCUAUAGACGUGGAUAACCUCGGGAAACUGAGAAUAAACCGCGAUAGAUCAUUAUGCCUGGAAUGGCUUAUGGUUCAAACAAUUUAUUGCCGUAGGAUGGGACUGCGGCCUAUCAGCUUGUUGGUGAGGUAAUGGCCCACCAAGGCUAUAACAGGUACGGGCUCUGAGAGGAGAAGCCCGGAGAUGGGUACUGAGACACGGACCCAGGCCCUAUGGGGCGCAGCAGGCGAGAAACCUUAGCAAUGUGCGAAAGCACGACUAGGUUAAUCCGAGUGAUUUCUGUUGAAGAAAUCUUUUGUCAGUCGUAAAACCACAGACGAAUAAGGGGUGGGCAAGUCUGGUGUCAGCCGCCGCGGUAAUACCAGCACCUCGAGUGGUCAGGAGGUUUAUUGGGCCUAAAGCAUCCGUAGCCGGCUACGCAAGUCUCCGGUUAAAUCCAGCUGCUCAACAGAUGGGCUGCCGGAGAUACUACAUAGCUAGGGAGCGGGAGAGGUAGACGGUAUUCUGUGGGUAGGGGUAAAAUCCACUGAUCCAUAGAGGACCACCAGUGGCGAAGGCGGUCUACCAGAACGCGUUCGACGGUGAGGGAUGAAAGCUGGGGGAGCAAACCGGAUUAGAUACCCGGGUAGUCCCAGCUGUAAACGAUGCAAACUCGGUGAUGCAUUGGCUUAUGGCCAAUGCAGUGCCGCAGGGAAGCCGUUAAGUUUGCCGCCUGGGAAGUACGGACGCAAGUCUGAAACUUAAAGGAAUUGGCGGGGGAGCA
rnacentral:rRNA from 1 species